UGUCGUACUUCCUGUGUGGCAACUACAACACAGGUGAUGGUGUUUCAGGCAGUCCCUUACAAGCACUGCAUGGAUGAGCAGCCACCACGAGCGCAAGCUGGUUAAGAGCCCCUGGAACGCAACCACCUCUCAUGGGAGAGGAGAAGAGAAGAGGACAAGGAAACUCUGUUGAGGAUUUGCAUGGUCAGGUUUUUUUGCACCCACCAGGAGUUGGAGUGUGGAUUCGGCGGAUCUGUGAUGGCGAGCCACGAGGAGAUGGACUGAACACAAUUACGUGUAGAGCUACAACCCCCAAGAUGUGAACUGAACUCAACUACACGCAGAGCUACGACCCCGAAGAACUGGACUGAACUCAAGUGCACGCAGGAGGUGGCAAGCGAGGACUGUGUCCACAGUCCAGUGGUUGGACUGAACUGUUCACCCGUGCGGUUGCAGCGCACAUGUUUGAGUAACGAGAGUUAGAACCAAGAGUAAAGGACUGAUUUGUUUAUUUUCUUUUACUUGCCCGGGUAAGAUGUGUGAUGUCAUGAUUAAUGUUGUGAUGAUUGUGUUUCCUCCUCAACCAAGUAAAUGUGAGGAGAGAUCCUUUAAAGGAAAAA